GAAUCAGCAAGGCCAUAUGCUCCACCUCCUCUACGUAAAACCCCAAAUGAAAACGCUUACUGUUAGCUUUUUGAGGAGUGUGGGAUUUCAGCAUUAGCUGCCCUUUCUCCUUUCUCAGUGGUGUGCAAUAAUAAAACUCCUAUUUUCUUCCACUACACCUGGUGUCAGAGAUUGGAUUGCUGUGCAACAGAUGUGAAGGGAAUCAACGUCUUUACAAUAGCAAGCCGUCCCAUCUGUGAACAUAAUGCAUCUCCCAUUACCAAGGACCUGAAGGCUAAGGAUGUAGACAACAUGAUGAAGGAUAAUUAUACUCAAUUGGAAUCUGCAGCAGUGUGAUCUUGCACGAGUUCCUUUCCUUUUCCAAGCCUCAGUUCUACUACGUGAAAAUGGAGGUAAUCGUACCUAUGUUGAAGAC
rnacentral:lncRNA from 1 species